CGGGGCGGAAGCCCUGCAGCUGGAGACUGGCUUCCGCCUGCCGGUGGGCAGGAGGGGCGGCAGGUGGCGGUGGUGCUGGUGGGGAAGGGUGACCGAUGUGACCUCUCCUGGAAGGUUUUCAGGAUGCACGUGUUGACUUUUGACUUCCAAGUCCCAAAGCUCGCUUCAGUAGUUCCAGGCGGUUAUGACGGUGGCUCGCUGGCCUGAAUGAUCUUAAUCACGAAAGCACUUGUGUACAGCUUUAUAAUUCGACGUCUGUGUGCACUACACAGCGCUCCCCGCCACCGCCUGCUUCCCACCCUCACCGCGCCGCCCACGCGCGGUGGUCAGCUGGCCGGCCGGCGCCGCUGGCUGGUGGCCUCCCCGAGACACGCAGGCACCGAGACUUCCGUGGGGACCGAGGCGUCCGGGUCCUGCCCCUCACUCCUCCCCCUGCUCGUGGCCCCGACGGACCAGGCACACGGAUUCACCUGUGGAAGCCACAGAACAUUUGUGGCCCAAGAAGAUUCAAGCGACAGCAAAAUGAAGACUAAUCAAGUCAGGGGACGCUUCCUUUUCCUACAACCAGACUCCAGUACCCCAGAAUCUGUGUUUGUGAAAACUCCAGAGGAAGACAAACAACACUCCCUCCAGUGCUCCCCUCUUGCCUCGUCCCCCUAAAGUCUUU
rnacentral:lncRNA from 1 species